rfam:Clostridium botulinum B str. Eklund 17B, complete genome.
UACUUAUCAAGAGUGGUGGAGGGACUGGCCCUAUGAAACCCAGCAACCUACUUUUAAGAUUUAAUCAAAAGUUAUUAAAUUUUUAUCUUAAAGGUGUGGUGCCAAAUCCCGUUAGAUAAGAAGUCUAAUAUAGUAUGAGAA